GCCUGGAUAGCUCAGUUGGUUAGAGCAUGGUGCUGAUAAUGGCAAGGUUGAAAGUUCAAUUCUCAGGGACC